rnacentral:rRNA from 1 species
GCUUGUCUCAAAGAUUAAGCCAUGCAUGUCUAAGUAUAAACGAAUUUAUACUGUGAAACUGCGAAUGGCUCAUUACAUCAGUUAUAGUUUAUUUGAUGGUCCUUGCUACUUGGAUAACCGUAGUAAUUCUAGAGCUAAUACAUGCACAAAAUCCCGACUUACGAAGGGAUGUAUUUAUUAGAUACAAACCAACAUCGUGGUGAUUCAUAAUAACUGAGCGAAUCGCAUGGCCUUGUGCCGGCGAUGGUUCAUUCAAGUUUCUGCCCUAUCAGCUUUCGAUGGUAGGGUAUUGGCCUACCAUGGCGUUAACGGGUAACGGAGAAUUAGGGUUCGAUUCCGGAGAGGGAGCCUGAGAAACGGCUACCACAUCCAAGGAAGGCAGCAGG